GAGUUUGAUCAUGGCUCAGAAUGAACGCUGGCGGCAGGCCUAACACAUGCAAGUCGAACGGAGUUAUAUUGUAGCUUGCUAUGGUAUAACUUAGUGGCAGACGGGUGAGUAAUGUAUAGGAAUCUACCUAGUAGUACGGAAUAAUUGUUGGAAACGGCAACUAAUACCGUAUACGCCCUACGGGGGAAAAAUUUAUUGCUAUUAGAUGAGCCUAUAUUAGAUUAGUUAGUUGGUGAGGUAAAGGCUUACCAAGACAAUGAUCUAUAGCUGAUCUGAGAGGAUGAUCAGCCACACUGGAACUGAGAUACGGUCCAGACUCCUACGGGAGGCAGCAGUGGGGAAUAUUGGACAAUGGGCGAAAGCCUGAUCCAGCCAUGCCGCAUGAGUGAAGAAGGCCUUCGGGUUGUAAAGCUCUUUUAGUGAGGAAGAUAAUGACGGUACUCACAGAAGAAGUCCUGGCUAACUCCGUGCCAGCAGCCGCGGUAAUACGGAGAGGGCUAGCGUUAUUCGGAAUCAUUGGGCGUAAAGGGCGCGUAGGCGGGUUAGUAAGUUAAAAGUGAAAUCCCAAGGCUCAACCUUGGAACUGCUUUUAAAACUGCUAGUCUAGAGAUUGAAAGAGGAUAGAGGAAUUCCUAGUGUAGAGAUGAAAUUCGUAAAUAUUAGGAGGAACACCAGUGGCGAA
rnacentral:rRNA from 2 species